CGGGCGAGGACCAUUAGCUGAGAGAGGGAGAGAUGUCUCAGAUCCAGAACCUUUAUUCUAUCUCCUCCUCAUUUCUUCUCUAUCGUCGAUUCAUCGCUGGUGGGGAAGUGCUAGAGUUCCGUACGACGUUGCUGUAGAGAUCGCGUCACACUUCUCUUCCUCAUUUCUGCACCAAUUUCCUUUCCCUUUUCAUCUGCAGUGUUGCCUUCCUCCUUUAUUUAGCUAGCAGCCAUUGGUGACUAUGCUCUCUCAUCAUUCUCGUCAGAGUCAUGCUCUGUGAUCUUCCCCUCCUCCUUUGUUCGAGUAUUAACUUAGAUGUAUCAGAAAUCUCCUUUCCCUGUUCUGUGUAUUACUGAAGCAUUCCUCAGUAGUCUCUUCCUCGGCUACUCCUUACUCUUCUGUCAGUUUUUGUGUUGGUAUGAUUCUUCUUGCUUUUGUCAUUGCUGUAACGUCUGCUGAGAAUCACUGCGUUGAGGCAUAGAUCGCAAGACUAAGGUUCCCCUGUUUAGUGUCCAAGCUCCCUCCCAUUCUCUGUUGUGAUAUUGAUGAUUUAAGGAUGUUUGGAAGAAGAGAAGCUUGAAUAAAGUCACAAGAAAUGAGUUUGGAGCCUAGGAUACUACAGAUACCCUAGUUGACGUCGAUCCUCCAGUUGAUCCAUGAGAACUCAUAGAUGUGCUGGGUAAAGAAUUGAUCAAAAUUUUCCUUUUUAUGUAACUAUAAAUGCUUAUAUAUUUUAUUUUGGAGAGGUCUGGUUAGGUGCUCCACAUAUGCUAUGUUUAAGGCUUCUAUUUUGGUAUAUAUGCUGUCUGUUUAUUGGAAGAGCUAAGCUCCUGACUAACAUGAUAUUCUGUGAAUAUUUUUAUAUUGUAGAGUUUUAAAAGAUCCUAUUUACAGGCGAAGUUUUGUCUAAA